rnacentral:rRNA from 1 species
UACAGAGGGGGCAAGCGUUGUUCGGAAUUACUGGGCGUAAAGGGCGCGUAGGCGGCCUUCUAAGUCGAACGUGAAAUCCCCGGGCUCAACCCGGGAACUGCGUCCGAUACUGGAAGGCUUGAAUCCGGGAGAGGGAUGUGGAAUUCCAGGUGUAGCGGUGAAAUUCGUAGAUAUCGGGAGGAACACCGGUGGCGAAGGCGGCGACCUGGGUAGAUACUGACGCUGAGGUGCGAAAGCGUGGGGAGCAAACAGG